AGGAUGAACGCUGGCGGUGUGCCUAAUACAUGCAAGUCGAACGAGAUCUUCGGAUCUAGUGGCGGACGGGUGAGUAACACGUUGGUACCUACCCUAAGUGGGGAAUAACUGCCCGAAAGGGUGGCUAAUACCGCAUAAUCCCGCAAGGGUAAAGCAGUAAUGCGCUUAGGGAGGGGCCUGCGUCUGAUUAGCUAGUUGGUGAGGUAAUUGCUCACCAAGGCGACGAUCAGUAGCUGGAUCGAGAGGUUGACCAGCCACACUGGGACUGAGAUACGGCCCAGACUCCUACGGGAGGCAGCAGUAAGGAAUCUUCCACAAUGGACGAAAGUCUGAUGGAGCAACACCGCGUGCAGGAUGACGGCCUUCGGGUUGUAAACUGCUUUAUAUAGGAAGAUUAUGACGGUACUAUAUGAAUAAGGACCGGCUAACUACGUGCCAGCAGCCGC
rnacentral:rRNA from 1 species